rnacentral:rRNA from 1 species
UAGCUAAUACCGCAUAAUGUCGCAAGACCAAAGUGGGGGACCUUCGGGCCUCAUGCCAUCAGAUGUGCCCAGAUGGGAUUAGCUAGUAGGUGGGGUAACGGCUCACCUAGGCGACGAUCCCUAGCUGGUCUGAGAGGAUGACCAGCCACACUGGAACUGAGACACGGUCCAGACUCCUACGGGAGGCAGCAGUGGGGAAUAUUGCACAAUGGGCGCAAGCCUGAUGCAGCCAUGCCGCGUGUGUGAAGAAGGCCUUCGGGUUGUAAAGCACUUUCAGCGGGGAGGAAGGCGGUGAGGUUAAUAACCUCGCCGAUUGACGUUACCCGCAGAAGAAGCACCGGCUAACUCCGUGCCAGCAGCCGCGGUAAUACGGAGGGUGCAAGCGUUAAUCGGAAUUACUGGGCGUAAAGCGCACGCAGGCGGUCUGUCAAGUCGGAUGUGAAAUCCCCGGGCUCAACCUGGGAACUGCAUUCGAAACUGGCAGGCUAGAGUCUUGUAGAGGGGGGUAGAAUUCCAGGUGUAGCGGUGAAAUGCGUAGAGAUCUGGAGGAAUACCGGUGGCGAAGGCGGCCCCCUGGACAAAGACUGACGCUCAGGUGCGAAAGCGUGGGG